ACUCUUUUUUCUUUUCUGUUACAGAAACAGUCUUUACUCUUUAUUGUAAAAUCAAGUAAGUACCCUAAAACAUAAAAUAUUAAAAUAAAGUAUUUGUAAAAAAUCUUUCAAUAAUUUACUCUCAUCUCGCCUGCCCCAUUUCAAGUUGUGCAGUGACAUCUCAAAGGAAUCACCUUAUCUAUAAGAAGAUAAUUUAUACAAUGAAACAGCCCUUGGGGGACUGUCCAUAAAUAUCAUGGUGGAUACCUCUUCCGGGUUUCUGAAGCUGCAUCAGAAUACGUCACAUCAUUGCCUCUCUAGUGUUUAAUCUCGAUGGCUAAAGGUCAUAUUUGAGACGAGAAACGGAAGCAAGUACGGUGGACCGAAGAAGACCCCAGAGAUUGAACAGUGUUGUCAUUUUAAGAGAUUCCCUCUGAUGAUUCAGCAGGCGCUUGCAGUGGCAGAUGACAUUCUCUCAAGUCUGAACGCAGUCAUUGAGGUCACUGCUUAUGCUAACGUGUCACAGACUGAAAGCGAAGGAUAGCGGGGAUGCUAACGGUUGGCAGCCCAACUGAGAAUAAUUCAUCUCCAUAUGCCAACUGCGAUGUGUGCAUCCCUAACCCUCCAGCUGCCAGUUUGAGGUCGGAAGUCAAAGGUCAGAUGACAGGUCCUCAUCCCUCUUUUGCCCCUGACCUACUUCAACUCUGCAGACCCCACCGGGUCAGUCCACACUCCCUCUGCCUGGGCUCAAAACAAAUGAAAGGCCAUCUGCCCAGGACUGAUGGGCUUUUGGGCCAGCAUUGUGUGAGAAGAAGGCUCUUUAGGACCUCCGUGACCUCCAGCCCAGCACUGCUGUCCCUAAUCUGCUGAUGGGUUGAAGGCUUACAUUUUUACUACAGAGCAUUUGGAUGACCACCCUUGACUCACAAAACAACCUGAACGCAGCGAUACACAUUACUACAAAAGCAAAUAAAUCGGCUUUUUUGUAUUCCCAUGGUGGGCUAUGAAAAACAAGAACAUUCAGGACAAAGUUUACACAGCAGCAAUUCAAUCAAAUUGCUGACUGGUUAGAUAAAUAUAAAUUGUUAUUUAUUGCUUUAUGGUGGCAUUUAGUGCUAUAUAAAUCUGAUUUAUUAUUAUUAUGAUUAUUAUUAUUUAACAUUAGCAUACACACAGCUUAGCACAUAAAUGUACUUGUUCUACCAGUAGCUUAAAUACCUAUAUCUAUGAUAUGACAUGAAGUUCUUGAAGGAGACCAGUAAUCAAAUCGAGCUGCAGAUGCUGUGUUUUGGGUGGCCUACAUGUCCAUUCCUGACCCCGAGAGAAAGACCUUUUCAAUUCCCUCGGGAGCACAAUGGCUGUGGGAACACACCACUCCCAAUGUGAUGACUGCUUCUCAUUGCUGUUUGGGACCACAGUGACAUCUAUUGCGUACAACAAGGCGGUCAGAUAAACUUUAUUCUGGCAUCUUGUAUAAUAUGCCAAGAGGCCUCAUUUAGUCAAGGCUGCUUUGUAGAGACGUGCAUUCAGAUGCUUGAACAACAUGGCCAGAACGUCGAAUAUAGUGACAUGAGUUAUCAUUUGUUAUGACAUAUCAGUGUUUAAAGUUUCAUAACACGAUGAUGUGUCUUGUUUCUCUUCCCCUUUUGUAAGCUUGUCAGUCAUAUGGUUAAGCUGAAUUCUUGAAAGAUAUGGACUUCACAUUCCAUAUUCUUCCCCCAUCGAAACAGAUUGAUCCCAAAGAGCUACAUAGGCUAUUAUUUAGCAUACACUCAGUAACAAUAAUCUGAGAGCAGGAAAAAUGUCAUAAUAAUAAUAAUAAUUUUGGUUAAGUCAUGCGUAUGGUACACAGCAAACCUUAAUCAGCGUAGAUAUGGGAGUCAGUUGAUGUCAAGCUGAUGGUCUGUUCUUGAAACUAUUUGGCCAAUCUGAUGUGGACGAUGGCCAGCUUGGUAACUUGUUAGCUAAAGGCAUAUUAUGAAGGUUUUUACUGUUUUAAAGAUUCUAAAGGUUUUAAAGGUUUUUCUAGGUAACUAUUUAUAACGUCCUCAGAUUCAUUCUGUUGGUAUGGUCAUGGGAAGAACUGAUAAACACCCUGGUUUUUCUCACUCGCUGCGCAGGUCAUUCACUAUGUAGCUUUGUGCCUUCACAGCAGC
ensembl:lncRNA